GACGAACGCUGGCGGCGUGCUUAACACAUGCAAGUCGAACGGAAAGGCCCUGCUUGCAGGGUACUCGAGUGGCGAACGGGUGAGUAACACGUGUGUGAUCUGCCCUGCACUUCGUGAUAAGCCUUGGGAACUGGGUCUAAUACCGGAUAUAAGACAUUCUGAGUGUGAUGGUUGGAAAGUUUUUUCGGUGUGGUAUGAGCUCGCGGCCUAUCAGCUUGUUGGUGGGGUAAUGGCCUACCAAGGCGGCGACGGGGAGCCGGCCUGGGAGGGUGGACGGCCACAUUGGGGCUGAGAUACGGCCCAGGCUCCUACGGGGGGCAGCAGGGGGGAAUAUUGCACAAUGGGGGCGAGCCUGAUGCAGCGACGCCGCGGGGGGGAUGACGGGCUUCGGGUUGGAAAAUCCUUUCGCUCGGGACGGAGCUUUUUGUGACGGUACCUAGAUAAGAAGCACCGGCUAACUACGUG
rnacentral:rRNA from 1 species